CUGACAACGACCGCUGUCAUAUUAAUUUUCAUUUUUCGUUGCCGGGAUCAUGAUCCCCAUCUUCACAUUGCAUUAGUACAAAUAAUAAGAAAACUUUGACCACUAUUGUCACCACUUUGAUUAAAGUUCAGGUCCUUGCAAUAAUGUGCAUUUCAAUUUUAAUGAGCCCCUCACCCUAGGCAAAGCCGAAGCCUCCCUCCCCCUUCCCCCCCACACACACACCUAAAGUGCCAAUACCAGUGCUUUGUCACCCACAUCAUUUGAGGUUUCUUUUCACUUUCCUCGACUUUUUCCCUUGAAAUUUUACUGAGGCUAAUAGCUUACUGCAUCCUUGUUGGCGCGGACUUGAACGGCUUUUAAUUAAUAUUUUCGAUUAUUUCUGCAAAAAAGAAUAUUAAAUUAUGCGGUUUUAUGUGCCGAAACCACGAUCUCAUUGUGAGGCACCCCAUAGUGGGGGACUCUGGAAACUUGGACCACGGGGGGCUCUUUAACAUGUACCUAAAUCUAAGUACAUUGGUGUUUUCACAUUUCGCCCCCAUCGAAAUGCGGCCGUCGUGGCCGGGAUUAGAUGUGGCAAUCUCGAGCUUAGCAGCCCAACACCAUAGCCACAAAGCAACCACGGCGGGUCACUUUAUUUCUUCAAAUCCUGACAAUAGGGGGACACGCCCAUCAGAAGCACUCGCGGUGGCUGCCUUAUCCAUACUUUCUCACUUCAACAUUAUUUUAAAGUUCCACUGUAAACACCAUGCACAUAUGCAAUAUAUUUAAAUAUAUACACAGGACAAAGUUUAUAAUAUUUUUGAAAGAGAUGGAGGCAGCCAAUUAAGAAUUAUUUCUAAAGGUAUGGAUAGCCUAUGUCUAGAGAAUGAAUAUGUUGUUGUAAGCUCACGACGCUUCAAAUUGUUUUGCAUGCUUUUUUGAUCAUUAAUGAAACCUAUAAACUUCACUGACCCCGUCAGCAGACUCUUUUAUCCACGGCGUAUGAAAUGCAUGUGAAUGUUGUGUGUCUCGGUGUUGCUUCUCUUUACAGUAAGCAAUGUCAACGACUCAUGAAAAAGAGAACAUUUCUAAUAACUUACAACAUUUAUUACGUAUGGGAACAUUGUCACUUACAUGCAAACGUAAAUAUAUACAGAGUGUCCCAAUUAAUUAUAAUGCACCAAGAUUUAAAAAGAGAGCAAUGCGUUACUCGAAGAAAACCUAGCGCAUAUUGUUUGCAGUACAUUGCAGUAGCUGCCAGUAAUUUUUUCGUUCCAGAUUUAAUUUGGUCAUUUAAUUAGUUAUCUAAGCCGACAUGUACUAUCCUAAUUAUCAAAUGAUAAAUGAGGCAUCUAAAGGCACAGCCAAGGGACAUCUAACUGCGAUAUUUUCAGCGACGUACUAAUUGUGUACUAAUUUUUUAUGAUAGAUAAAUAAACCCUGUGAAAUAUGGAGAAUACCACAUGACUGUGCUCCCACUCGCAUCAUAAAGCAGCGCCCUCGAACAUGCUCCCUCUGAGUAAUCCAGGACGAAAUAAAGGAAAUAAAGAAAAACAUUGUGAUCGACCUAAUGCCUUAUCUGCCGUAUUCCUGCCGAAGUAACACGUCUCGUUUGGUGUUACCUGGAAAAUAGUUGUGAUAGCUGUUGUUUUAGCGUAGAUAAAGUGCACGGAUGUUUUUUUUUUUUUUUUUUUGCUACAGACCUGUCUCCACAAAAGUGAAUUGACGUCAGUGCAAAGAUUUAAAGGAACUUGCAUGGCUUGUGUACAGGAUACAACAUUUCCUGGGAGUGUUCUCAGCCUAGGUUGUGAAAGACUGCUUUAAACUCAUGGGGACAACUGAGAGUGACAAGAGGCAUUAUUUUGUUGAGACUUUUAAAUCAUCAUGAUGUCGAUGGCACUGUCCACAAAACUAUCACCACUGGAUUGCCCCUCUUCAGCGGGCAAGACAGCAGCAGCACCAAUAGAGAUCGUGCUGUCGAGGACCAGAUUCGUCGACGCAGGGUCUGAGCAUGCACUGCAUCAGGCCUAUCUACUGCUACCUCUGGCUGUCUGCCCUGCUGGCUUCAUCGGACGAAACAAGUCGCAGGAAGCUGUACCACGUGCACUGCACUGGGACCACCUGACCAGCACGGUGACGUCGACGGAGACACCAUGGCACCCGGAUAAAAGCAGCAGCCUUUUCGACGUUACCUUCAGUGGACUUAGAAGCACUGAACGAGUACGGAUGCUGAUCAAAUUUUUUCUGAUCGCACAGAGUUCAUCACAUGUGCAUGUGCAACACAUUGGCGGAGGCAAUAAGAACUGCAUUUCUCUCUAGCUGGACAAGUCGGAAUGGCAAUGCACCUUGGAGAACAAGACUCGAAUUGUGAAAGUCUGGUGGUAAGUCUGAAGUAAUAUAUUUUCAUUUAUAUUUGGUGUUAACUUUCCAGCGCAAACUUUCUAUCCUAUUGAAGAAACAUUUAGCCCCCUGUUUGGCCUGUUUUUUGAGGGCCUUACAUCAGGCCCCCUAGCAAGUUUUAUAGCGUCCUCGAUCACCUUGCCCCGGGGUUGCGCUGAAACCAGAAUGGUGCGCCUUGCACUGCCGUGGUGGCGCACUGCGGAGGGUCAACAUCGAGGACAAAACUGUACCCAUUGCAGGGUGCUUGCAUGCAGCGCUAUUUUGCCCCUGGCGCGCAAGACGUGCGUGAACGCGCGCGCGCACGCACAUUUUGUUGUUUGCAGGUGCUGAGCAUCUGCGGCAAGCGCUCAAACCUUGUCAAACUGCAUGCUCCGACAUACCUGGUUGCAAGCAAACACCAAUGGAUCUUAUAAAUAAUCCUGGCGACCCUUUCAACGAACCUGUCCACUUUCGGCCGCUCUUCACCACAUUGUUUUUGGACGAGGUCGAUAAGCAUGCCGUCUUCGCUGUCAGAAGAACUUGAAAAAAGCUCAUCGAUUGCGGCAAUUAGCAGCGCUUCCUUUCUCAUUGCCGACAUCUCCACUGGCUAACUCCGUCAACUCCAUUGCAACCGCAGAUAUCAGGCCAGAGCAUCCACGUUUCUGCAGUCGGCAGUGCGCGCGCGCGUCCCGCAGUGCUUGCUGGGAUUGCACCCUGGCGCACCGCCGAUUUUCUCGGUGCGAGACGGGGCAAUGGAAAACCGCUCCAACAGGGUGCGCUUCCGGUGAUCGAGGAUGGUCGGUGCGGUUGAUUGAGGAUUAAAGUGCGCAGCAAGGCGCCCCGGUGCGAGUGAUCGAGGACGCAAUUAGUUUACACUGCAAUUUAAAGCUUCUUGAGACCCGAAUACAGCCAUGGGACAUAAUUACUUUUCAAGCUGGUUAUUAUUGCCUCCAGGCAUGUUUCGAACAUGAAAGAUGUUUUUUAAUAACAUAGUUUUAAAUAACUGGCAUCUUUUUUAAAUAUCACAGUCAUACGUAGACAGGCUAAGAGCUGCAUCUCCAAGUAAACAUCUCAUGCUCGCUAUGGUAAAAACUGCAUUUCAUUGCCUGGACGCAGAGGUGAAGAUGGAGUUAUGUGUAGUAGACUGUUACUUGGCUGCUGCAUCCUGGAUUUUCAUGCAUUAAUGAGGAAUUCAAAACAGACUUCAAGGUUGCUUCCUGCUGUUUGUGACAAUGCAGAGGUCUACAUCAAUUUAGUGUGAAAUUUCUUGAAAGUAGAUGAGAAGAAUAUGAGUGAACCACUUUCGACAGUUCCACAUGCAUUGGACUUCAUAUCCACGAUGAAUGUUUGGAGUAACGACUUCAGACUUCUGGCAUUUCUUUACAGAAAUAAUCUUUUAAACUGGUUUAUUAUUAGAGGAGACAGCAGAAAUUGAAUGCCCUCUUACCACACCACCAUGAGGUGAGUGUGACUGCCAACAGAGAGACACUCUGCCUCGAGUAGCCUCCGCGAGCGACGUUCCUUCCUCGCCUUAUCACAUACUUGAGCCGAAGAACCACAUCGGGUUCACGUGACUAGCACCACCCGCUUUUUUUUUUCUUAUCCGGUUUUGUUGCAUGGCACAUUUUCCACCGUGGCAUUGCGCAUUCUGAAUUGGGCGAUUUACCUAAGUAAUGCGUCAUGGCGAGCGACACUUUUAAGACUCUAUUUUGUUUGUGUUGCCUUGACUCUGGCUGGGUGUGGCGCUUUCUCGAGAGGGAGGAAAGUGGUGUUUCAUUUGAAAUUUCAGCGGUCUGUAUGACAUGCACAGAUUUGUCAUGAAUACCUGUGUCAUGUGCUGUAAACUUAAGAACAGCAUUAAAUACAUUCUCUUAGUGGUGAAUGCAACGCAUACUUAUCUUUUGCGCACAAAGAAAAUGUGAACAGUGUACAGUGCUCCCACUUCUGCGUCAGUCUGAUAAAAAGGCCAACAAAGAGUGAUACUGCACUAAAUCAAGUAUUUUGAAAUUGGGAGACAUACUAGGGAUGCUUCUGCAGCAGACAUGAUUGGCCAGAGAGGUUAACAAUGUACAGCUGCUUGCAGUGACCAAAUGCACAGCACCAUCAGUUUUGUGCCAUGCUAUAGUUCUAUCAAAACCGCCUAAAAUUCUUGCAGCUUUUUAGGAAAGGAUUAGUGGCACAUAACACUGUGCCUAUUUUUCCUGUUUUUUGAAUGUAUAUUUUGCUCCCACGUAGCUGAUGCGACUCAAAGGUUUAUAGUCCUGAAAGCUUGUUUGCUUUGUUAUGAAUGUUACCAGAAACUUACGUGUGCAAGCUUACCCCUGCCCACACUAACGCAGACCCAGUGAGUUUAUUUAAUAUGGAAAGCUAAAACAAUGUAGUGGCUGCACUAUUGUUAUGAAUCUGUCGUAAUGAUAGAUGUUGCUGAUUUUAUGAAGUGCUUGUUUUCAUCACUCAGGAUAUCACCCAAAAUGCUAGGAGGCAAAAAAAAAAUGUAUAUAAUGUUCACAAGAUAUGGUUGAGUAGAGGCUGGGUGGUGGCAGCCGAUUGAGGGAACGAGCUCGCCUGCGGAUCUUGCGACCACAAGAGGUUCAAGUAGAUUUUAUCGCAUUAAAGUGCAACAAGUGACUAGAAAAAAAAAAAAGCCUGGGCAUGUCAUCAAAAGAUACCGUUGGGAACAAAAGUCUAUGGAUCUACACGCACCAUGAAAUACCCAAAUUUCUUUUCUUACUUGCCAUGUUGGUGACACUGGUCCACAGUAAAGUUGCAGAAUGGGGCGGGCCCUCCAUUUCAUUCCUACUUGACAAAGUUGAGAUUUCUUAAUUCCACUCUUUAACUCCCCAGAAUGCCAAGAGUUGUACUAUUUCUCCAACUUUAAAUGAAA